CUUCCCCAUUGUUAGAUUAUAUUAAUAUUUUAUACAGGUUUCUAUGUCUGGUAAGUGUCUUGACCUGACCUCGUCACUACUCUACCGAGGUUAGACAUGCUACUUAUUGGGUACCGUUGUGGAGUACUCAUGCUACGCUUCUGUAUAUUUUUGUGCAGAUCCAGGUACUUCUGCCCGUGUCGGAUGCCAGUGAGUUGAUUCAGUCAUUUCGGAGACUUCAAGGUAUACCUGCUUGACGCUCACAUGCCUCAGAGUCGCCUUCUGAUAUUGUCUUUACUACUGUUUAUCUUCAUAUCAAAAUAAUAUUGUAUUUAGAGAUUCCUAGUGUACUUCAUUUGAGCAUAUGAUUGUGUACCUCCAGUUUUG
rnacentral:lncRNA from 1 species